CAAGGCGCCUGCGCUAAGCCGGCUUGUCGGCGCCAUUUUGUCUGAGCGGUGGCGGUCGCAGCUCUAUCGCAUUUUACGUUUCUGGCGAGGAGAGACCCGGGUCUCUAUCCCGCAGAUGCAUGUGAGCGCGGCACUUCUCCGCCGUUGGCUCCAGGACAGCACCUAGCGAAGGUCGGAGGAGUCGCGGACCUUUCAAAAAGUUGGUACAAAGAAAACAAGAUCUCUCGGUGGCAUAUCCUAAGUAUUAACUCAGAAUAAACCUCUUUGUGGGAAAAUGAAGGAACAUGUUCCAGUUUUAAAAGAUCUGGAUCUGCAGUUGAAAAUUCUGUUUCUGAACACAAGCAGGAAGAGCAUCAGGCAGAGGGAGAGGGAGAAGCAGCCUCCCUGCUGAGCAAGGAGCCCAGUGCAGGGCUCAAUCCCAGGACCCCAAGAUCAUGACCUGAGCUGAAGGCAGAUGCCCAACUGACCGAGCCACUCAGGCACCCCUAAAAGAUUUUAUUCACCUAUUAGAGCACAUGAGCGGAGUGGGGAGUAGGGGAACAGAGGGAGAAGAAGAAGAAGCAGAUUCCCCACUGAGCAGGAAGCCCAGGACAAUGGCAGGACCCUGGAAUCAUGACCUGAGCCAAAAGUAAACGCUUAAGCGAUUGAGCCACCCAGGUGCCCUACACCACUUCUUUUUUAACAAAAGACCUAAAGGGACACCUGAGUGGCUCAGAAGUUGAGUGUCUGCCUUCAGCCCAAGGCCUGAUCCUGGAGACCUGGGAUCGAGUCCCAUGUUGGGCUCCCUGCAUGAAGCCUGCAUCUCCCUCUGCCUGUGUCUCUGCCCCCCCCCCACCCCUCUCUCGUGAAUAAAAUAAAAUCUU